UACGGGGGGGAGCAAGCGUUGUUCGGAUUUACUGGGCGUAAAGGGCUCGUAGGCGGCCAACUAAGUCGGAUGUGAAAUCCCCAGGCUUAACCUGGGAACUGCAUCCGAUACUGGAUGGCUUGAAUUCGGGAGAGGGAUGCAGAAUUCCGGGUGUAGCGGUGGAAUGCGUAGAGAUCGUAAGGAAGACCAGUGGCGAAGGCGAGUUCCUGGACAGUUGCUGACACUGAGGCACGAAGGCUAGGGGGAGCAAACGGG
rnacentral:rRNA from 1 species